GGACACGUGAUAUCCUGUCUGAAUAUGGGGGGACCAUCCUCCAAGGCUAAAUACUCCUGACUGACCGAUAGUGAACCAGUACCGUGAGGGAAAGGCGAAAAGAACCCCGGCGAGGGGAGUGAAAAAGAACCUGAAACCGUGUACGUACAAGCAGUGGGAGCACCCUUCGGGGUGUGACUGCGUACCUUUUGUAUAAUGGGUCAGCGACUUAUAUUCUGUAGCAAGGUUAACCGAAUAGGGGAGCCGGAGGGAAACCGAGUCUUAACCGGGCGUUAAGUUGCAGGGUAUAGACCCGAAACCCGGUGAUCUAGCCAUGGGCAGGUUGAAGGUUGGGUAACACUAACUGGAGGACCGAACCGACUAAUGUUGAAAAAUUAGCGGAUGACCUGUGGCUGGGGGUGAAAGGCCAAUCAAACCGGGAGAUAGCUGGUUCUCCCCGAAAGCUAUUUAGGUAGCGCCUCGUGAAUUCAUCUCCGGGGGUAGAGCACUGUUUCGGCUAGGGGGCCAUCCCGGCUUACCAACCCGAUGCAAACUGCGAAUACCGGAGAAUGUUAUCACGGGAGACACACGGCGGGUGCUAACGUCCGUCGUGAAGAGGGAAACAACCCAGACCGCCAGCUAAGGUCCCAAAGUCAUGGUUAAGUGGGAAACGAUGUGGGAAGGCCCAGACAGCCAGGAUGUUGGCUUAGAAGCAGCCAUCAUUUAAAGAAAGCGUAAUAGCUCACUGGUCGAGUCGGCCUGCGCGGAAGAUGUAACGGGGCUAAACCAUGCACCGAAGCUGCGGCAGCGAACGUAUCACUUAAAGCGAUUCAGCGGGUUACGAUUGACGGAGCGAAGCGACGUCAAAGCGUAUACAAAGUCGAGUCGGUUUAAGGAUACGUUCGUUGGGUAGGGGAGCGUUCUGUAAGCCUGUGAAGGUGUGUCGUGAGGCAUGCUGGAGGUAUCAGAAGUGCGAAUGCUGACAUAAGUAACGAUAAAGCGGGUGAAAAGCCCGCUCGCCGGAAGACCAAGGGUUCCUGUCCAACGUUAAUCGGGGCAGGGUGAGUCGACCCCUAAGGCGAGGCCGAAAGGCGUAGUCGAUGGGAAACGGGUUAAUAUUCCCGUACUUGGUGUUACUGCGAAGGGGGGACGGAGAAGGCUAUGUUGGCCGGGCGACGGUUGUCCCGGUUUAAGCGUGUAGGUGUGUGUUCCAGGUAAAUCCGGUUCACUUUAACACUGAGGCGUGACGACGAGGCACUACGGUGCUGAAGCAACAAAUGCCCUGCUUCCAGGAAAAGCCUCUAAGCAUCAGGUAACAUCAAAUCGUACCCCAAACCGACACAGGUGGUCAGGUAGAGAAUACCAAGGCGCUUGAGAGAACUCGGGUGAAGGAACUAGGCAAAAUGGUGCCGUAACUUCGGGAGAAGGCACGCUGACACGUAGGUGAAGUGAUUUACUCAUGGAGCUGAAGUCAGUCGAAGAUACCAGCUGGCUGCAACUGUUUAUUAAAAACACAGCACUGUGCAAACACGAAAGUGGACGUAUACGGUGUGACGCCUGCCCGGUGCCGGAAGGUUAAUUGAUGGGGUCAGCGCAAGCGAAGCUCCUGAUCGAAGCCCCGGUAAACGGCGGCCGUAACUAUAACGGUCCUAAGGUAGCGAAAUUCCUUGUCGGGUAAGUUCCGACCUGCACGAAUGGCGUAAUGAUGGCCAGGCUGUCUCCACCCGAGACUCAGUGAAAUUGAACUCGCUGUGAAGAUGCAGUGUACCCGCGGCAAGACGGAAAGACCCCGUGAACCUUUACUAUAGCUUGACACUGAACAUUGAGCCUUGAUGUGUAG
rnacentral:rRNA from 1 species